rnacentral:rRNA from 1 species
UACAGAGGGGGCAAGCGUUGUUCGGAAUUACUGGGCGUAAAGGGCGCGUAGGCGGCCUGCUAAGUCGAACGUGAAAUCCCCGGGCUCAACCCGGGAACUGCGUCCGAUACUGGCAGGCUUGAAUCCGGGAGAGGGAUGUGGAAUUCCAGGUGUAGCGGUGAAAUGCGUAGAUAUCGUAAGGAAGACCAGUGGCGAAGGCGGGUCUCUGGACAGUUCCUGACGCUGAGGCACGAAGGUCAGGGGAGCAAACGGG